UAGUGCUUAGAUGACCUUUUAGAUGGUUUG
rnacentral:piRNA from 1 species